rnacentral:tRNA from 1 species
GGAGGAUUGGCCGAGUGGAAAGGCACGGGCUUGCGCUGUGUUCCCUCAGGCGAGUCUUGGUCGGGCGAAAGCCCGCGCGCGUUCGAUCCGCGCAUCCUCCG